rnacentral:rRNA from 1 species
UACAGAGGGUGCAAGCGUUGUUCGGAAUUAUUGGGCGUAAAGCGCGUGUAGGCGGCCAUCUAAGUCUGGUGUGAAAUCCCUCGGCUCAACUGAGGAAGUGCAUUGGAUACUGGAUGGCUAGAGGAUGAGAGAGGAGAGUGGAAUUCCCGGUGUAGGGGGUGAAAUCCGUAGAUAUCGGGGAGGAACACCAGAGGCGAAGGCGGCUCUCUGGCUCAUUUCUGACGCUGAGACGCGAAAGCGUGGGGAGCAAACAGG